GAUUAUGGCUCAGGAUGAACGCUGGCGGCGCGCUUAACACAUGCAAGUCGAACGGUUAAAGCACCUUCGGGUGUGGUAUAAAGUGGCGAACGGCUGAGUAACACGUGGGCAACCUGCCCCUCGCACCGGGAUAGGCCUCGGGAAACCGUGGGUAAUACCGGAUACUCCGCCCACCCCGCAUGGGAGGGCGGGAAAGCGUACACGGCGGGGGAUGGGCCCGCGGCCUGUUAGCUCGUUGGCGGGGUAACGGCCCACCAAGGCGACUAUGGGUAGCCGGGUUGAGAGACCGACCGGCCAGAUUGGGACUGAGACACGGCCCAGACUCCUACGGGAGGCAGCAGUGGGGAAUCUUGCACAAUGGGCGAAAGCCUGAUGCCAGCGACGCCGCGUGCGGGAAGAAGGCCCUCGGGUUGUAAACCGCUUUCAGCAGGGACGAGGCGCGAGUGACGGUACCUGCAGAAGAAGCCCCGGCUAACUACGUGCCAGCCGCUGC
rnacentral:rRNA from 1 species